rnacentral:rRNA from 1 species
UAUACCGUAGCUUGCUACACCAUAGACUGUGAGUUGCGAACGGGUGAGUAACGCGUAGGUAACCUGCCUGGUAGCGGGGGAUAACUAUUGGAAACGAUAGCUAAUACCGCAUAAUAUUAAUUAUUGCAUGAUAAUUGAUUGAAAGGUGCAAUUGCACCACUACCAGAUGGACCUGCGUUGUAUUAGCUAGUAGGUGAGGUAACGGCUCACCUAGGCGACGAUACAUAGCCGACCUGGGAGGGUGAUCGGCCACACUGGGACUGAGACACGGCCCAGACUCCUACGGGAGGCAGCAGUAGGGAAUCUUCGGCAAUGGACGAAAGUCUGACCGAGCAACGCCGCGUGAGUGAAGAAGGUUUUCGGAUCGUAAAGCUCUGUUGUAAGAGAAGAACGGGUGUGAGAGUGGAAAGUUCACACUGUGACGGUAUCUUACCAGAAAGGGACGGCUAACUACGUGCCAGCAGCCGCGGUAAUACGUAGGUCCCGAGCGUUGUCCGGAUUUAUUGGGCGUAAAGCGAGCGCAGGCGGUUAGAUAAGUCUGAAGUUAAAGGCUGUGGCUUAACCAUAGUACGCUUUGGAAACUGUUUAACUUGAGUGCAGAAGGGGUGAGUGGAAUUCCAUGUGUAGCGGUGAAAUGCGUAGAUAUAUGGAGGAACACCGGUGGCGAAAGCGGCUCUCUGGUCUGUAACUGACGCUGAGGCUCGAAAGCGUGGGGAGCGAACAGGAUUAGAUACCCUGGUAGUCCACGCCGUAAACGAUGAGUGCUAGGUGUUAGGCCCUUUCCGGGGCUUAGUGCCGCAG